AAGGGUCUAUUAUAAGAGAAGGCAGUGUCUGUUCAAAGGUAAUACAACUGACUCAUCAUAACUUUGUAAGAAACAGUCCCAGCUCAACUACACAGCAGCAUUGUGUAAACAUUAACUGUAAAACAGGCUUUAAAGUCACAAUAUUUGCAGCAAAUUGUAAUAACAUUUUAAAAAUAUACUGUACAAACAACUGUGUAGUGUAAAGAACCAUACACCAUUCUGUCCAUGUCAAUAAAAUAUACAGUAUCACAGCAACA